GGGGGAUGGGAAGCAGGCAGAAAGCAGUAAAACCAGCUCUGAGCUAUGCAUGCAAGGGCCUCUCGCAAGCCUCAAAUUCUGUAACUGACAAAUCAUUCUAAAUUUUGCCUGGGAAAAUAA